UACGUAGGGUGCAAGCGUUGUCCGGAAUUAUUGGGCGUAAAGAGCUUGUAGGCGGUUUGUCGCGUCUGCUGUGAAAUUUCGGGGCUCAACCCCGAACUUGCAGUGGGUACGGGCAGACUAGAGUGUGGUAGGGGAGACUGGAAUUCCUGGUGUAGCGGUGAAAUGCGUAGAUAUCGGAAAGAACAUCAGUGGCGAAGGCGGCUUUCUGGACUCAUACUGACGCUGAGGCGCGAAAGCGUGGGGAGCAAACAGG
rnacentral:rRNA from 1 species